CACGAACCGGACAAACGUUAUUCGGAAUUAUUGGGCUUAAAGGGUGCGUAGGCGGUGUGGUAAGUGAGGUGUGAAAUCCCUCGGCUCAACCGAGGAAUUGCGCUUCAUACUGCCAUGCUAGAGGGAGACAGGGGUAAGCGGAACUGAUGGUGGAGCGGUGAAAUGCGUUGAUAUCAUCAGGAACACCGGUGGCGAAAGCGGCUUACUGGGUCUUCUCUGACGCUGAGGCACGAAAGCUAGGGUAGCGAACGGG
rnacentral:rRNA from 1 species